rnacentral:lncRNA from 1 species
AAAGAUGGGAAGGAAGUGGACAGGGUUGUUGGUGCCAAAAAAGAGGAGUUGCAGCAGACCAUAGUGAAGCAUGCUGCUCCUGCUACGGUGACAGCAUGAAUCUCCUUAAUCAAAUCCCAUAUUUAGUAUUGUCUUCUGUAAUAACCAAGUAACUUGUUCGAACUUCAAAGUAAGGAUGAUUGUAUGUUUUAUUAUCCACCAUGUUUUUAUUGCUUUUGUGAAACCUUUGUCUUGGUGCUUGGAAUCUGAUUUGUGCAUUUGGUGUUACUGAUGUUAGGCUAUAUGCCCAAUUCUACAGAAAGACUAUUUUCAGAUUUCUACUGUUGUGAAGCUCUCAUUUUGCUUGGAUAGCACUGACUUAUUUACAAUUGCUUUGAACGUUUGGUUCUCUCGGUACAUUAUCCAGCAUCUCAGCAUAUCUUUGAGAACGCGUUUGGACAAUUAACUUUGGUUGAAAUUGUAAAACAUAGUGUUUAAGUUUUAAGUCCAAGUAUAUUUUGGAAGUUAGAAUUUAUGUUUGAACAUAAAUUUCACUAGAAUGAGGAACAGGAUGCACCAACAUAUACAUUCACCACGCAAAGUGGCAAAGCAUAAUGGCUUAUUCUAAAUAAAGCAACAUAUAUACUCCCCUGGAUCGAAUUUUGAUCUAUGAAUUGUUGUUUGUUGAUUAUACAUCAUGCUUUUAUGAACCUUUGUUUUGGUUUGGAAUCUGAUAUGUGCACAUGGUGCAAGGCUAUAUAACCAUUUCUAUCAAAAGACUAUUUUCCAGCUUUACUCUUGUGAAGCUUCCAUUUUGCUACGACAGCACUGGACUUAUUUACAAGUUAAUACAUCUUUCACUGCUCUUAGUACAUUAUCAGCAUAUGUGAGCAAUUCUGAAUGUGUGUGUGCGUGUAUCCUUUGCACAAGCAACAUUUCUUGGCCUGAUACAAGUUUAAAAAUCAUUGGGAACCAAAAUUUGCUGCCGCUGCAUAUGACAAGAGCCGCAACAACAACAACAACAACAAACCUAGUGAAGUCCCACAAGUGGGGUCUGGGAAGGAUAAUGUGUACGCAGACCUUACCCCUACCUUAUGAAGGUAGAGAUGACAUAAGGUAGAGAGGUUGUUUCCGGUAGACCCUCGAUAUGACAGGAGCCGUAUUUUGUUACAUUUCGACUGCAAGAGAUCCAGUUUAUAGUAGGACAGUGAUAAAUAUUCCCUUUUGCUCGUUCAGAAAUGGAUAUGAAAUAUGACUUGAGACCUUUUGUCUAGUUAUUUUCUUGAUGAAGGUCAUUGGUUACACAAUGUCAGAAAGAAUGUGAGACACCAAACUGUGACUGGGAACAGAAGACGUCAAACAUAUACAUCCAUCCACCACGCAAAGUGGUGUAUAUAUUCUAAUAGAUGUAAAACCAGAAAUUCUCCUAGAUCUUGGCUUUUUCCAAGAAAUGUGACUCUAUAGCAUGGAUUUAUCCCUAAUAAUCAAAAACCUACAGAAUUCCUUCCUACUGGUGACGUUUCCUAAACUAACUGAACUCAUGAAGUUGUCCUUUUCACUAACAAUAUCUUUGAUACAUCACCACCUAGUUCCUCGAACAAGACGACCAAAUUUUCUGUUGGUUUCAACCAAGACCUUGGGACAUGGUACCUGAGAAGCCGAAUAGACAAACGAUUAGUUAGGAAAUUCUAAUGUGUAUUUACUGAUACAAAGGAAAUUUAAGCAGUAACAUGCUUCUAGUGAUGGCAGAACUAAUAAAAAUUUCAAGAACUACCAUUUCUGAG